rnacentral:rRNA from 1 species
AUUGAACGCUGGCGGCAUGCUUUACACAUGCAAGUCGAACGGUAACAGGCCGCAAGGUGCUGACGAGUGGCGCACGGGUGAGUAAUGCAUCGGAACGUGCCCAGUCGUGGGGGAUAACUACUCGAAAGAGUAGCUAAUACCGCAUACGAUCUAUGGAUGAAAGCGGGGGACCGUAAGGCCUCGCGCGAUUGGAGCGGCCGAUGUCAGAUUAGGUAGUUGGUGGGGUAAAGGCUCACCAAGCCAACGAUCUGUAGCUGGUCUGAGAGGACGACCAGCCACACUGGGACUGAGACACGGCCCAGACUCCUACGGGAGGCAGCAGUUGGGAAUUUUGGACAAUGGGCGCAAGCCUGAUCCAGCAAUGCCGCGUGCAGGAAGAAGGCCUUCGGGUUGUAAACUGCUUUUGUACGGAACGAAACGGCUCUGGUUAAUACCCGGGGCUAAUGACGGUACCGUAAGAAUAAGCACCGGCUAACUACGU